UUAUAACUACUAUAUUAAUAUAUAUUACAAUUCUGUAAUUAAACAACAGUUGGCAUGAAAAUGUUAUAAAUAUGUAAAAAUGAAAUAAAAUUAUAUUUUAUAUUCUAUUUAUCUAUAAAAAAAAAAAAAUUAUUUUUUGUUUAGUAUAUGUUUAUAUUAUAAUUAGAACAAGCAUUGUGGUAUAUAGCAAAGUUAUAUACAGCAAAGUUAUAUAUAGCAAAGUUAUAUAUAGCAAAGUUAUAUAUAGCAAAGUUAUAUAUGUUGGUGCGUUUAUAAUUUGGUUAGGUACCAGAUGCAUGUCAUUAUACUUGUGCGAUUUUUUAUAUAUAUAUAUAGUCAUAAUAUUAAUACGUUUGUGCUUAAAAUAGAAAAAAUAAAAAAAAAUUAAGUUGAAAAAAUAAAUGUAUAGAAUGAAUUUGCCAUUUAAAACUGUUGCAUGUUUUUUUCAUUAAAAAAUUAAACAAUUUAAUAUAAUAUAAAUAUAUAUUUAUAAUAUAUAUAUGUACAUGCAUGUAUGAAGUAAUGUUUAAAAUUUUCGUAUAAGAACCAUAUAUUAUUAUUUAAUCUAUUUUUAUUUAAAUAUUGCUUUAAAAGUGUAUCAUCCUGUUUUUUAAAUAUGAACUAUAUCAUUUUUAUGUACUUCUAUUUUGUUUAAACAAUUUUUAUGUUUAAUUAAGUUAUAUAUAACUAUAUAAAUUAAAAAAAAAAAAAAAAAAAAAAAAAAAAAAAAAAAAAAAAAAAAUUUGUUGCAUAUACAUAAAUAUAUUUUAACAAAAAUUUUUAGCUUUAUUUAAAAAAAUAUUAAACUAUUUUAUGCUGUCACAUUUACAUGUUAAAAAGAUAUCAUUUAAAUAAUUAUAAAAUGUAAAAUUAACAUGUUAAUUAUUAUUUUGGUACCAUUUUUAUUAUCAAUUCACAAUUCAAUUUUAUUACUGUUUUGGCAAAAUGGAGGUGCAGUUCAAGAGUUGUGGAGAAAAUGUAACGUACGGAUAUUAUCACAGUCUAACUCCUUGACCGAUGAUGAUUAUGCUUCAUUAAAUUUUGUGGCAACCAAUGAGUGCGACUUCGUAAAAUUAAAAACAAAUAAAGACAAAAUAUAUAAUCAUGAUGAGAUUUUUCAUAAUUUAUUACAAGAAAAAGCUAUAGAUGUGGAACAGGUAAUGGCUAAUGCAUUAAAAGAUGAAAAAAAAACGAUUACAGAUUUAAAGCAAAAACUGUUAACUGAGAAAACAAAAUAUAUUGAAGCGGAAACCAACAUAUUAUUAAAUUAUGAGCAAGAAAAAAUUCAAUUACUCCUUAAUAAUUUAUUUAAUACGCAAGUAACAAAAAUGCGUUCAUUAAUAAAAAGACUAUAUUAUGAUAGUAUAAUAGAAGAUAAAAAUAUAAUAGAUCAAAUUAAGAAUAAAAAUGAGUUUAUAGAUUUAAUAAAUAAUAUGUUAUAUGAUGAUGAAAUAAAACAUAUUGUAAGUGAAUAUCUGACGAGUUUUUUAGAUCAAGAAAAUCCUUUUGAGCAAUAUAAAAUAUAUAAAGAAAUUAAAAAUCAUAUUAUAAAUGAGCAAAAAAAAAAUAAACAAGGAAGUUGUAUAAAUGUUGAACAUAUGUAUAAAAAAUAUAAAAAAAUAAAAAAAGUGUUAUAUUAUAAAAUUUUAAAAAAUGGAAAGACAUAUUUUGAAUUGGCAAAACAUAUAUCGUAUGAUGUAGUGUUCCACAAUAUAAUGGAAAAUCAUUUGGGAGUGUUUUUGUUACCUAUAACAGCUGUGUCUAUUAUUUUGUUUCAACACUUGCUUAAAAAAAGAAGAAUAAAAUAUGCAUAAUGCAACCUUUUUAAGUUGAAAUGUUUUUUAUUUUUUUUUUUACUGCAAAAUUUUGAAUUAAAUAAAAUAGGAAUAUUUGUUUAUUAAAAAUAAUGU
rnacentral:lncRNA from 1 species